GACUGAGGGACAGACUGAUGGACAGACAGACUGAGGGACAGACAGAUGGACAGACAGAUGGACUCUGGACUCAGGACGGUUGGUGCUGCUCUCGGCUGUAAUGUCUCGGCUCUGCCUGCAGGGGGAGCUGCUCCGGAUCCUGUAAUGAUUCCCGGCGGAUCUGCAGGAAUCUUUCCUGGUUCCUUCCUGGACUUCGAUUCGUCUCUGAAUGUUUGGCAUCGUUUGUCUCACCUGUCCAGGUGAACCAGCUGCCCUAUCAGCUCACCUGAUGCAGAACAUUCAGAGCUGAGUCACAUCCAGAGGAGCAAAGACGAUUCACUGAACUGGGUUUGAUCUCAUCUGGUCAACAGAAACCAGAUCAGCCUGGAAACAAACCAGCAGCAACAAAUCAUCUGGAAAACCAGCUGGUGCCGAACAGAGAUCAGUCUGAUGAUCUGAACUGAAACAUCUGGAUCUGAAAAU